rnacentral:tRNA from 1 species
GGUUGUGGCUCAGUGGUAGAGUACUUGCCUAGCAUGUGUGAGGCACUAGGUUUGAUUCUAAGCACCA